rnacentral:misc_RNA from 1 species
AAGUCGUAACAAGGUUUCCGUAGGUGAACCUGCGUCCAAACGUUAAACCCCCCCGUGAACCUUCAUCCUGCUCUUGUAACCCAGUGUCGGAAAGUGUCAUUGAUUGUGCAAGGAUAGCGCUUCUACGAUUCCUGUAGACCGUACACUCGGGCAGGAGCUUUGCCACAGGGUCCCCAUGCCCCCUAAUAACCCCACAGUUUAAUGUGAAGCUCAAUGUAAUACAUUGGGUAAAAAAACCGAACAACUGUUAACAAUGGAUAUCUUGGUUCUC